rnacentral:rRNA from 1 species
AAAAAAAGUAUUUAUACUACAUUGAACCUUCAAAACGUGAACACUUUUUAAUGUAACAGGUUUUACGAUGUGUGGUUAUUAACCUUGAACCCUGAUGUUGCUUAAGAACGUUAGGAUAAGAGACAAAGUUAAACGUCAACAUUGAAAACAACGUUGAAGUUGAGCACGAGCACAGGAAGAGGUGUUGUGGCCGCUGGGCGUUGCCCCUUGCUGGGAGUGCCGUGGCCUGCGGUGCUCAACGUUGCAGAAACCGCCCUCCAACGGCCUGCGCGUUAUAGUCGGCCUACUUAGUGCGUAAAAGAUAUUUUACCCGGUUAAAGAGUCUUGUAAACUCCUCAUUUCAACCGUGAAUUUAAUGUCUUUAUGUUUUAGUCAAGUUUGCAUUUCCUGACUCGUGUCUCCAUUAGUUCAAAAUGUAGUUGGUCUUUUGUACAUGGUAGUUUACGUAGUCUUUCUAUCGUUCUUUGGUGUCAUGUUGUGUUGACCGUUCUGUUUGUCUUAAUACCUGGCUGAGGUCCCGAGUGAAUAAGAAUUCAAGUAGUUUCGAAGGCGUGUGGUCGUCUUCAAACGUCUAUGUUUGCUAUUGUGACGUAGUGUCAUAUACCAUAUGUUUGUUUCUGUCAAGUCCGUAGUUGCCUGUGUCUGGUCUGAGGUAACCUCCUGUGGCUCCUGUUGCUCUGAACACUUGGGUCUCUGUCUUCGUCUAGGUACCGGUCCUCGAAUGACCGGUGGCGCGUCUGCCUCGUGGUUCACUUCACACCUGAGGAAGACCUACAACAUCAGGCGGUUUCACGCCGGUAGGAGUUCGACGAACGGUCGUUUCUACUCUGCGACGACCAGGCCACCCUACGGGAGGAACAGGACCUAGAACCGGAACUGCAACAGCUACCACAGUCUCCUGAGCUGGAGGUCCCACUACCAGAACGGCCAGUCCCAGAACUGCUUCUAGACGUACGGUGGUGCCUCGGACUCGUGGUCCACCUCACACCUAAGGAAGACCUACAACAUCAGUCGGUCCCACGCCGGUAGGAGCUCGACGAACGGUCGCUUCUACUCUGCGACGACUAGGCCUCCCUACGGGAGGAACAGGACCUAGAAUCGGAACUGCAACAGCUACCACAGGCUCCUGAGUUGGAGCUCCCACUACCAGAACGGCCACUCCCAGAAGUGUUUCUAGACGUAGACAUCUAUGUUUUGUAUGGUCUUGUUCUCAUUCCGUGACACGUCUCUUUAUACGUCAUGUAGUUUUGUUACGUACUUGGUUUAAAUGUCUCCACCUUAAUAUUGAUUCUUGUGGGAUCGACUAUGUAGUUUGUUAUAUAAUCGUCUACAUAUUCGUUAUCUACUUCGUUCUACUAUGUUAUCUAACGAUCAGACAUACUUUGUAGACGUAGACAUGUAUGUAUCGUAGUCUGUCUUGUUCUCGUUCCGUGCCAUGUCCCUUUAGACGUUUGUUAUCUACUUGAUCUACCGCCGCCUACUUAAACGUUGAAUCUUAGGGGAUCUGGUACGUCACGAUUUAAAAACGUCUAGAUGUAUAAUCUUAUAGAUGGUCGCGUUAUAACGCGACGUCGACCCUAGUGUCCAUUAGAUCGACACGACUUGUUCGACCAAUUCAGGUCAUUGGUUGUCACCGUUUGGCUUUACUUAGAUUCUCAACUUAGCUACGGUUUUGAUCCCUAUGAUGGGCGUUCAGGUUUCGGCUUGACGAUUAGACCGUUUAGUGUCCACGUAGGGAAGUCUGGUAUCCCGAUGUUUUAGUCUUUGAUCGAUUGAUAUUGAUCUAUCUACUUGACUUGGUUGUCAUUAACGUAGGGUUAUUGUGGUGCUUCCACAUGGAGCUGUCUAGUCUGUAUAUCCACAUAGUACUCGCCAUGUUCUACUAUUUAGGUGUUAUUAUGAUAUUCUUCUAAAUAGUCUUGGUUCGUUGAUGUUUAUAUCUAUUCUGCUUGGCUGGGUUGUCGUUAGCGUAGUCUUAGCCGUCUAGAUGAGCUUUUAGUACCGUACUAGUUCUCUUUAAAUUGAUGUUGGCUCGGAUUAGGCGGAACCGAUUGUCUUGCUCGACGUUAGCUAGUUGUCGUUGUUGCGGAUCUGGGUGUCUAGUUGCUAGGGUCCCGUGCGCGCGUGUACUGUUCUUCCCCUUCUUUGGACUCCGUGCGUAUGGAACUCCUCCUCCUGCUUUCUCGGAACUGAAGCGAAGCUAGCCUCCCCCGACCUAAACCUAGCCUACACACCUCUUCUCUGCCCUCCCCCGCCCCUAAAAUAUCGUCCGAGCCUCCCCUCCCCUCCUCCUUCCUUCUUCUCUGUGCCGUGCCUCGCCUA